CGAUGGCGGGCGGCGUGUCCGGGAGGACGGACCCGUUCCCCGGGCCGGCGCCGGUGCCGCGGGCCGGAGUGAAGCGGUUCCUGCGGGAGAGCGGCGAGAGAGCGCCCCGCGCCGUCGCCCCCCGG